UUCCGGUUGAUCCUGCCGGAGGCUACCGCUAUUGGAGUUCGAUUAAGCCAUGCGAGUCGCGAGUCUUAGGGACUCGGCGUACCGCUCAGUAACACGUGGGUAACCUGCCCUAUGCUGGGGGAUAACCUCGGGAAACUGAGAAUAAUACCCCAUAGUUCACCACGCCUGGAACGGUGGGUGGACCAAAGCUCCGGCGGCAUAGGAUGGGCCUGCGGCGUAUCAGGUUGUAGGGGGUGUAAUGUACCCUCUAGCCCUCUACGCGUACGGGUGUUGAGAGACAUCGCCCGGAGAUGGAUUCUGAGACACGAAUCCAGACCCCACGGGGUGCAGCAGGCGCGAAAACUUGGCAAUGCGAGAAAUCGUGACCAGGGAACUCCAAGUGCAUCGGGUAAGACCGAUGCUUUUCUUGACUCUUCAAAGGUCUUGGAAUAAGGGGUGGGUAAGGACGGUGCCAGCCGCCGCGGUAAUACCGGCGCCCCAAGUGGUAGUCGCUUUUAUUGGGCCUAAAACGUCCGUAGCCGGUCUGGUACAUUCGUGGGUAAAUCAACCAGCUCAACUGGUUGAAUUCUGCGAGCACGGCCAGACUUGGGACCGGGAGAGGUGUGGGGUACUCUCAGGGUAGGGGUAAAAUCCUGUCAUCCUGAGAGGACCACCUGUUGCGAAGGCGCCACACUAGAACGGAUCCGACGGUCAGGGACGAAGCCUAGGGGCACGAACCGGAUUAGAUACCCGGGUAGUCCUAGGUGUAAACGCUGUGGACUUGAUGUUGGGGGCGCUCCGAGCGCACUCAGUGUCGAAGCGAAGGUGAUAAGUCCACUGCCUGGGGAGUACGGUCGCAAGGCUGAAACUUAAAGGAAUUGGCGGGGGAGCACCGCAACCUGAGGAUUGUGCGGUUUAAUUGGAGUCAACGCCGGA
rnacentral:rRNA from 1 species